GGAUGUGAGGGCAAUCUGGUUGUGACAUCUAUCACCUCAUUGAUUGCCAGGGUUGAUUCAGCUGAUCUGGCUAGCUAGGUGGGUGUCCCAUUUCUACUGCUCCAGCUGCAUCCCAACCACAGCCCUGGGAUUGAUCAGGGCUUUGAUCCUCUAUGGAGGAGGACCAUUCUUCUGUUAAGGGUAUAGCUGUACUGUCUAGGUACUACUGUCAAGGGUAUAGCUUCUGUCAAGGGAGUAGCUGUACUCCCUUGCUAGAACCUCCAGACAAGUUCUUAAAACAUCAUUAAAAUUAAGAAUAUUUAUUUAUUUAUUUAUGA
ensembl:misc_RNA 7SK 7SK RNA